UCCCACUUGAGUACUAAUUGUUUGUGGAACAUGAUCAGCACGAGGGGAAAUCUAUCGCAGUUCUUGAAAGCAGAGGUAGCAAAGGAUGUGUGCAAGUGAAUGGGAAGACGAUUAAGAAAAACACUAAUUGUGAGCUCAACUCAGGGGAUGAGGUGGUCUUUGGGUUUCUUGGGAAUCAUGCUUAUAUUUUUAAGCUACAACACAAUGACUAUGUAAUCAAGACGCCUCCACCAGAUGUUCAGAGCUUAGGAAAGUUGAUUCAUGCUGAGAGACGAGCAGGAGAUGCAUCAGCUGUAGCUGGUGCUUCAAUUUUGGCAUCUCUUUCAAACUUCAGGCAAGAUUUAUCACGUUUCAAGCCUCCAUCUCGAGCCGUUACUAAAAUUCACCAAGGGAAUGAGCUACCUCUUUCUCCUAUUGUUAAUGAAGAUGAUCUGGAUGGGCAAGAAGUCAAUUCGGCUACAAAUUCAGGGAAUGAGGCAGCUGUUGAUGUUGAAGCGGCCAGCAAGGUCCUCCCUCUUGACAGCCAUUUAGACUCCGGCACUGAGGCAGGCAACUUAAAACUUUUGGAGGAAUAACGUGCUUUGACCUUAAUCAUUUAUAUGUAUAUUUUAAAAAGCCCUAAGAGCCAUACCUUCGUAAGGUGACGCUCAAGCCUCAAGACUAGAACUGUGAAAUAAUUCAAAAAAAUAUGUAAAAUUAUAAACCAUCUUGAAAAUCCAUAAUAAAACAAAGUAACAAAAUUAAAAGUCUAACUCAAACACGCCUAAAAUAAGUCAUCAUAUUAGCAUAUAAUAAGUUUUAGAUUAGUAAAAUAUUGCUACUAGAAGUAGAACAAUAGAGGAUUCUACCAUAUCAUCACUACUACUAAUAUCUUUUGAGUUAAUUGCAACAUAUCUGAGUCC